GACGUAGGGGGCCAGCGUUGCUCGGAAUUACUGGGCGUAAAGGGUUCGUAGGCGGUGCGGCAAGUCGGGAGUGAAAUCUCUGGGCUUAACUCAGGGGCUGCUUCCGAAACUGCCGUGCUUGAGUGCGGGAGAGGCGAGUGGAAUUGCAGGUGUAGCGGCGAAAUGCGUAGAUAUCUGCAGGAACACCCGUGGCGAAGGCGGCUCGCUGGACCGCAACUGACGCUGAGGAACGAAAGCUAGGGGAGCAAACAGG
rnacentral:rRNA from 1 species